AUGCUGGAUUCUGCCUCCAUGGCUGGAGCCGCUGGACCGGCACUGGGAGCGGUCCGAGCCAUGGCUGCCUGUUCACGACCUCUCUCCAUUCGGGACAACGCCGCCCUUAGAGUCAGCUACAGCGACUCCGCAUCGAGGCGGUCUGCUGCCAAGCUCCCAGCAGGUGCCUCCACACCGCAGGCAGACGAGGCUCCCCGCGCUGCCGGGCACUGGCUGAUUUGGAGAACGAUGAAGAAUUUCAAUUUCCAGUCCCAGGGCUCGUGGCAAUUGCAGCUGUUUGCCUGGGAAAACGCACCUGUCCGUAACGCCAUACCCACGGUCCUCGCAGACCUUGCACGGGGUUCCUGCGUCUCCAAAACCCACUCACGGACCCCAGGUAACACCCUCCGACCCGUGUCUGUCUCCACAUUUCUCCAGAGGCACAGAGAUGCCGAGAGACCUGCCCAGGGUCCCACUGCCCGUGAUGGCCGAACCAGGUGUAGGACCCACGCUUCCCGUGUUCCCCGAUGCCUCAUUCAGUGCUGAGUCUCGAAGCUUCUAUACGGUCCUCUCACGUCCCCUCUGAUGAAGGGAAGACCCCUGGAGGGGGCAACAUUGUCGAGUGCUCCACACCAGCAGGCGUAUGUAGGCGCUCAGCAGCAGGUGCAGAAGCAUCAGAUGGGACCCGAUCCCACCCCGUGCCUCUCUGCAGGUUCAUUCCCCUCUCGGUAGCACACUUUUCUUACCUUCAAAGUCAGAGGACAGCAUGGCCUGGGCUGUGCGGGUGGAGGGAAGCGAGGGACUGGGUAUUGGGAGUGUGACCCACGUGGCCUGCACCUGCCGCUCGUGCUACCUGCCUGAGGCAGCUGCUGCUGACGUUGUGGGGCCCUCUAACGCCUCUCACCCAGUGCAGCCUCCUUCCCUGCUGGCCCUGAGUCUGAGGCCCCCUGGCAGGAAACGCGAGGCCAGCAGCAGAGGAGGUGGCAGCUUUAAAUAACUGCCUCCC
rnacentral:lncRNA from 1 species